UGGCUCUCGCAUCGAUGAAGAACGCAGCGAAAUGCGAUAAGUAAUGUGAAUUGCAGAUUUCAGUGAAUCAUCGAAUCUUUGAACGCACCUUGCGCUCCUUGGUAUUCCGAGGAGCAUGCCUGUUUGAGUGUCAUUAAAUUCUCAACUCUCUCAUGGUUUUUUUUUAUGACCAUUAGUUGAGCUUGGAUAUGAGGGUUUUUGCCGGCUUUUAUCAGAGUCGGCUCCCUUUAAACAUAUUAGUGCAGCCUUGUUGAUCACUUUCCGGUGUGAUAAUUAUCUAUACCGUUCAGUGAAGAGCAUGAAUGGACUUGUGCUUCUAACUGUCCUUUUUAUCGGACAAUCACAUUAUUUUGAACUUGACCUCAAAUCAGGUAGGAUUACCCGCUGA
rnacentral:misc_RNA from 1 species